rnacentral:rRNA from 1 species
UACGGGAGGCAGCAGUGGGGAAUAUUGCACAAUGGGCGAAAGCCUGAUGCAGCUAUGCCGCGUGUAUGAAGAAGGCCUUAGGGUUGUAAAGUACUUUCAUCGGGGAGGAAAAAACAAAACUAAUAAUUUUAUUUCUUGACGUUACCCGAAAAAGAAGCACCGGCUAACUCCGUGCCAGCAGCCGCGGUAAUACGGAGGGUGCUAGCGUUAAUCAGAAUUACUGGGCGUAAAGAGCACGUAGGUGGUUUUUUUAAGUCAGAUGUGAAAUCCCUGGGCUUAACCUAGGAACUGCAUUUUGAAACUGAAAUGCUAGAGUAUCGUAGAGGGAGGUAGAAUUCUAGGUGUAGCGGUGAAAUGCGUAGAUAUCUGGAGGAAUACCUGUGGCGAAAGCGGCCUCCUAAACGAAUACUGACACUGAGGUGCGAAAGCGUGGGGAGCAAACAGGGAUUAGAUACC